UGAGGAAUAUUGGUCAAUGGGCGAGAGCCUGAACCAGCCACGUCGCGUGCAGGAAGAAUGUCCUAUGGAUUGUAAACUGCUUUUGUAGGGGAAUAAUUGUAUCCACGUGUGGAUAUUUGCAUGUACCUUACGAAUAAGGAUCGGCUAACUCCGUGCCAGCAGCCGCGGUAAUAAUCA
rnacentral:rRNA from 1 species